UGCAGUCGAACGGAAACGAAACUAGCUUGCUAGUAGGCGUCGAGUGGCGGACGAGUGAGUAACGCGUAGGAAUCUGCCUGAUAGUGGGGGAUAGCCCGAAGAAAUUCGGAUUAAUACCGCAUAAUCUAUUCGUAGUAAAGUGAGGGACUUUCGAGCCUCACGCUAUCAGAUGAGCCUGCGUAAGAUUAGCUUGUUGGUAGGGUAAAAGCCUACCAAGGCAACGAUCUUUAGCUGGUCUGAGAGGAUGAUCAGCCACAUCGGGACUGAGACACGGCCCGAACUCCUACGGGAGGCAGCAGUGGGGAAUAUUGGACAAUGGGGGCAACCCUGAUCCAGCAAUACCGCGUGUGUGAAGAAGGCCUGAGGGUUGUAAAGCACUUUCAAUUGUGAAGAAAAGUUAACGGUUAAUAACCGUUAACCUUGACGUUAACUUUAGAAGAAGCACCGGCUAACUCCGUGCCAGCAGCCGCGGUAAUACGGAGGGUGCAAGCGUUAAUCGGAAUUACUGGGCGUAAAGCGUGCGUAGGCGGUUUAUUAAGUCAGAUGUGAAAGCCCCGGGCUUAACCUGGGAACUGCAUUUGAAACUGGUCAACUAGAGUAUGGUAGAGGAAAGUGGAAUUUCUGGUGCAGCGGUGAAAUGCGUAGAUAUCAGAAGGAACAUCAAUGGCGAAGGCAGCUUUCUGGACCAAUACUGACGCUGAGGUACGAAAGCGUGGGUAGCAAACAGGAUUAGAUACCCUGGUAGUCCACGCCGUAAACGAUGAUAACUAGCCGUUGGGGGGAUUUACCCCUUAGUGGCGAAGCUAACGCGUUAAGUUAUCCGCCUGGGGAGUACGGCCGCAAGGCUAAAACUCAAAGGAAUUGACGGGGA
rnacentral:rRNA from 1 species